rnacentral:tRNA from 1 species
GAGGGUAUGGCUCAGCGGUAGAAUACAUGCCUAGCAUGCAUGAGGUCCUGGGUUCAAUUCCCCAGUACCUCCA